rnacentral:sRNA from 1 species
GCCAGGCAAGGUGGUGCAUGCCUGUAAUCCCAGUGGCUUGGGAGGCUGAGGCAAGAGGAUCAUGAAUUGAAAGCCAACCUUAGCAAUUUAGUGAGGCCCUAAACAGGUCAGCAAGACCUUGUCUCUA